rnacentral:rRNA from 1 species
UACGAAGGGGGCUAGCGUUGCUCGGAAUCACUGGGCGUAAAGCGCACGUAGGCGGCUUGCUAAGUCAGGGGUGAAAUCCUGGAGCUCAACUCCAGAACUGCCUUUGAUACUGGCGAUCUCGAGUCCGGGAGAGGUGAGUGGAACUGCGAGUGUAGAGGUGAAAUUCGUAGAUAUUCGCAAGAACACCAGUGGCGAAAGCGGCUUCCUGGUCCAGUACCGACGUCAGGCACGAAAGCGUUGGG